rnacentral:tRNA from 1 species
GCCGAGGUGGUGAAAUUGGUAGACACGCCAGUUUCAGGAGCUGGUGUCGCAAGACUUAGGGGUUCGAGUCCCCUCCUCGGCACCA